rnacentral:tRNA from 1 species
GCGUCCUUAGCUCAGCUGGAUAGAGUACCUGGCUACGAACCAGGCGGUCGGAGGUUCGAAACCCCCCGGACGCGCCA